UACGUAGGGUGCAAGCGUUGUCCGGAAUUAUUGGGCGUAAAGAGCUCGUAGGCGGUUUGUCGCGUCUGCUGUGAAAACUCGGGGCUCAACCCCGAGCCUGCAGUGGAUACGGGCUAGCUAGAGUGCGGUAGGGGAGACUGGAAUUCCUGGUGUAGCGGUGAAAUGCGCAGAUAUCAGGAGGAACACCGGUGGCGAAGGCGGGUCUCUGGACCGAUACUGACACUGAGGAGCGAAAGCGUGGGGAGCGAACAGG
rnacentral:rRNA from 1 species